rnacentral:rRNA from 1 species
CCACGACUCUCUCUCUCUCCCUCUCCCGAUCCAAUCUGGAUCGGGCCGUUCCCCCUUCCCCCUCGCCGCGUCCCCGACGCCACCUCGCUUAGGGCCCCCCUCGUCGGAGCCUCCCGACGCCGCCGCACGCCAUCUCCUCCCGCACGAUGCCUCCCCCUCGACGCGGACUGAAUCGGCGGCUCGAUCCCGCGGCGCCCCGAGCCCUGACGCCGUGCCGUCGCUGCUCACCACCACCUCGUCGGCGUCG